UGGAGGUGGGGGUUUUCGUGUCAGUGGCUCUGCCUGAGUAGGAGUCCCAGUACCAGGCCGAAGUUUGUUCUUGGGCUUGUCAGGACCCAGAUGGCUGAGUCCACGCUCGGUUUCCAUGGGUCUAGGGCAGGGCAGAGAAUGGACACCGCCCAGUUCCCAGUCGAGCUGACACCGGUCUCCAAGCACAAAGAGCUCUUGGUUGAAGAUGACUUCACCAGAUCUGCCACUCUUGGCAGUGGACAUUGACAAAAUAUAGUCACGGCUCACCACUGUGGCACACACGUAUAAUCUAGCACUGGAGAGAGAGAGCUGGGAAGAUGGGGAGCUCCUGGUCAUCGUGGCUAAAGGAUGAAUUCAAGGCCAGCCCGGGCUUCACUGUUACCAGUGGUGUGGUUGGAAGCAUAGGAAGGGUCCUGGAGAUUGAACCCAGAUCGUCAGCAAGUGCCGUUACCCAACAAGCCACCUUGCCAGCCCAUAUUUAUGUAUAUAUGAAUGUAGAGGCUGCUAGGUCAUGAGCUGCAUCAUGGAAAGGCCUACCUGACGAGGAAAUGAGGGCCUCCGACCAGCAGCCAGUGAGAAACUGAGGUCCGCAGACCACCAGCCCAAAAGGAACGGAAUUCUGCCUCCAACCAGCAGCCAGUGAGAAACGGAGGUCCGCAGACCACCAGCCCAAAAGGAACGGAAUUCUGCCUCCAACCAGCAGCCAGUGAGAAACUGAGGUCCGCAGACCACCAACCCAAAAGGAACGGAAUUCUGCCUCCAACCAGCAGCCAGCGAGAAACUGAGGUCCGCAGACCACCAGCCCAAAGGGAACGGAAUUCUGCCGUCAAGCACUUACAUGAGUCUGGGAAAGAACUUGCUCUCUCCCUGUACUGAGUCAACUUCAGACAAGCCUAGCUGGUACCCAACUCCAGUAAAUGAUGGAGUAAUUUAUAACGUAGCGAUAAAUAAUUAAUAUACCAUCAAAAUUUUUAAUAUGAAGGCAUGAAUAAUUUUAACUUUGAACCAUCCUAAAUUACCAAACCCAGUCUAUGCAGACAAGAGCUUCUAUUUGACUAGACACCCACAAAAAUAAAACUUUCUCUGUUCAAAUUUA